rnacentral:rRNA from 1 species
AACGAACGCUGGCGGCAUGCCUAACACAUGCAAGUCGAACGAGACCUUCGGGUCUAGUGGCGCACGGGUGCGUAACGCGUGGGAACCUGCCCUUAGGUUCGGAAUAACUCCCCGAAAGGGGUGCUAAUACCGGAUAAUGUCUUCGGACCAAAGAUUUAUCGCCUUUGGAUGGGCCCGCGUUGGAUUAGCUAGUUGGUAGGGUAAAAGCCUACCAAGGCGACGAUCCAUAGCUGGUCUGAGAGGAUGAUCAGCCACACUGGGACUGAGACACGGCCCAGACUGCGACGGGAGGCAGCGGUGGGGAAUAUUGGACGAUGGGGGAAAGCCUGAUCGAGCAAUGCCGCGUGAGUGAUGAAGGCCUUAGGGUUGUAAAGCUCUUUUACCCGGGAUGAUAAUGAGAGUACCGGGAGAAUAAGCUCCGGCUAACUCCGUG